rnacentral:misc_RNA from 1 species
UCUACACUAUUGCAGAGCUUUUCCAAAAUUUAUUUCCAAGCCACAGACUCACUGAUGUUCAUGUCUGAGCCGGAACGAGAAAUUACCUCAAACUUGGGUAAUUAAACCAACGAUCAUUGC